UAAAAUAGCAGGUACACAUGUCUGCAAGGAAAAGAGUCUUUAGGAAAAAAAUAAUAGAUAGCUAGAAAGGAAGUUCUAACUGCAAUUGUGACCACACAUGAAGUGAUUAAAAGAGAUUAUAUAAAGGAAAGGCCAAAGAUAGAACUUAUUCUGUUAUCCAUACAUGACAUGAUUUCUUCUUGCUGGGAAUUUGGUUGGGGGAAAAAAAGAGGGAAACAAAAGAAAACUAAAACCAUACACAAAAUAAAAGGAAUGAUUUAAAAGGCAUAAGAAAUAUGACCAAGGCAACUUAAUAAUAAUGGUAAACAUGACUGAAAUCUUAAUUCAUAUAAAUGAAAGAGAGAGAGAGAGAGA
rnacentral:misc_RNA from 1 species